GACCCCGGCCGCGCCUCGCUGAUGAUGAGACAUUAUUACUUUCGGUACGCGCUGUGCCACUUCAAACUCGUACCGUGAGUAAUAAUGCGCCGUCAGCAGCCCAGCACCGCAGCGCCGGG
rnacentral:pre_miRNA from 14 species